CUUUCCUCGGAACUUCCCACCGCCGCUCCUGCCCUGACGUCUCAGCAAAUCUGAGUUCAGCGGAAAGCACUGGCGCUGUGCCAGCUUUCCGAAUAGGAUGCUGAUGAUGGGGAGCAAAAUGAAGCACUCUUCUGUGUAUUGCAAAUUCCUCAAAACAGCUGCAAGAACCACAACUGAACGCAAGCUGUUGCUGGAUAAUCAACAAGCUCAAUUUCUACAGAUUCUCAUGUGGCAUUUUUGUCCAUAUGUAAGAAAAUACACACAAGUCACUCAAUAUGAUGGAGCUCGUCAGCCUGGGAAGGCAGUCCACCUAAGAGAGGGAAAACUCUGAUUUCAAACCUCCACUGCCUUGUGGCCAUCCCCACUCAUGGGAAAGGCUUCGGGAGUAAACCCUGAGGACAAAUCCGGAGCUGGAGUCCCUAAGGCAGUCCGACAUUUCCUUCCACCUCUCUCUGGCAACUCAUGCGACGACUCUGGUGGCAAGCUGUAUCGGCCCUUGCCCUUCCCUUGGAAACACCAGUGUAAUGGAGAGGGGAGACUCGCUGCAUGGGCAACUGCUGGUCUUCCAUAAAACCUUGCCCAGGCCUGCACCCUGGAAACCAUUCCAGGCGCAGAUCUAUGGUCUCACGGGACUAAUGGAUGCUACCAUCUGUGUUUAUGACAAUGAGAUUCGUUAUAUUGAAAUUGCAUUGUUGUCUGAAAAAUUUAACACCAUGAAUUAAUUAAUUCAAAUUUAAAAGGUUGUCAAGAAGAUAGU